GUCAGGGUCACAGUGUCCUCGCUGCAGGAACUCAGUGUGGAGCCAGCACCCACGCCGCUCCCCACGGCCCCAAACCCAAGGGAGCUCUGGGGAGACCGCAGGGAGUCAGAGGGGCCCCGCCACCCUGGCCCACGCAGCCCAGGCCUCGCCACUACGCGAACGACUAAAGACGCCCACGCAGCAGCGGUGACCUGGAGCUGCAAAGCGUCCACCUCCGUGUCCGAAAACUCGAUGAGCAUGCGUUUCUUGACCACAGUCCUCUUGGUCUGGCCAGCUGUCGGGCAGCCCCACCUCCUGCCCCACCAGGACAGGUGCCCGCGAGGCGACUGAGGGGACAA